rnacentral:rRNA from 1 species
GGAAUUGUUCGCAAUGGGCGCAAGCCUGACGACGCAACGCCGCGUGGAGGAUGAAGGUCUUCGGAUUGUAAACUCCUGUUGCCCGGGACGAAUGGCUCCGACCUAACACGUCGGAGUGUGACGGUACCGGGUGAGGACGCCCCGGCUAACUCUGUGCCGGCAGCCGCGGUAAUACAGAGGGGGCGAGCGUUGUUCGGAAUUACUGGGCGUAAAGGGCGCGUAGGCGGCCUGCUAAGUCGAACGUGAAAUCCCCGGGCUCAACCCGGGAACUGCGUCCGAUACUGGCGGGCUUGAAUCCGGGAGAGGGAUGCGGAAUUCCAGGUGUAGCGGUGAAAUGCGUAGAUAUCUGGAGGAACACCGGUGGCGAAGGCGGCAUCCUGGACCGACACUGACGCUGAGGCGCGAAAGCUAGGGUAGCAAAC